rnacentral:rRNA from 1 species
GAGGUAGUGACAAGAAAUAACAAUACAGGGCUUAUAGUCUUGUAAUUGGAAUGAUGGGAAUCUAAACCCUUCCCAGAGUAUCAAUUGGAGGGCAAGUCUGGUGCCAGCAGCCGCGGUAAUUCCAGCUCCAAUAGCGUAUAUUAAAGUUGUUGCAGUUAAGAAGCUCGUAGUUGAAUUUCUGCCUUAUCAUUAAUUUCGCUUCCGAACGUUAUUUUAUUGAUUUGGCAUCUUUACUGGUUUUAUAUGUUUUUCAUAUUUUUCCAGUUUUUUUACUUUGAGAAAACUAGAGUGUUUCAAACAGGCUUUCGCCUUGAAUACUACAGCAUGGAAUAAUGAAGUAGGACUAUUGGUUCUAUUUUGUUGGUUAUUGAACCAUAGUAAUGGUUAAUAGGAGCAGUUGGGGGCAUUCGUAUUUAACUGUCAGAGGUGAAAUUCUUAGAUUUGUUAAAGACGAACUACUGCGAAAGCAUUUGCCAAGGAUGUUUUCAUUAAUCAAGAAC